ACGAUAGAUUCACUUAAAAAUUGAAAAGAAUAGAUAAGAUGUUUAUAAGCAUAAUCUGAUAAAAUAUCUCUGAGUUUUUAUCAUUUUUUUAUUUUUAACAGUGGUGCUGUAUUUCCUAGUAAUAAUUAUAACAAACUAAAGAUUUAAAGCAAAUGUAGCAAAGUAUUCUGCUUUAAUUGUCAUUACUUUCUUAUAUUUAACAUUCUACUAUUCUGGUACUUUCUGUUUAAAAUGAAAAAAAAAAACAUCACUGACAAAUCUGGGCCAAGAAAGCACUUACUUGGUAUCAAGAUAAUGCCCCUUAUGCCUGAACUUAUGUUUUUUUUUAAAUUUUGAUAAGAAUUCAGUUGCUAUGUAAAAAAAUCAAAUAUGAAGAAUAAAAUCAAAUGCACUCUGUCAUUCCAAGGAGGUUGGAUAGAAUGUUUUCUUUUUUAGUGUAUUUUUUAUUGAAACUAAACUUUCAAACCAGGACAUGUUUAAUCAUCAUUUUUACAUAUACAUGAAAUUUGUUAAAUCAAGAAAAUGCUACUUAUAGUCUUAGUAACUUACAGAAUUUCCAUUAAUCAUCUUGAAAACAAUUAUUUAUGAAGCAAAAUUAUCUCAAAUUUCAUCCUUGGAAAUUAGAUAUUUGUUUUAUAGUCUUAUUUUAAAUGAUAGAUACACAUAUUAUAUAA
rnacentral:lncRNA from 1 species